AAAAGAAAAAAAAAAAAAGUUUUUACUUUAUUACUAUGGAGAUGAAUUUUCUUGAUUUAGCGGAAGAAUGCAUCUCCGCAGUGAUUUCUUUCACCAGUCCUACGACGCCUGCCGUAUCUCUGCUGUCUCCAAAUUGCUCCGCGUCGCCGUGGAUUCUAAUACCGUUUGGGAGAGAUUUCUUUCCUCAGAUUCUCGUAUGUAUAUCGAUAAAUCUUUAUCUAGAUUUUCCAAUAACCAGUUGUUCCUCUGUUUCUGCGAAUCUCCUCUUCUCAUCGACAAUGGAAGAACGGUAAUUUAACAAUAUGUAUUAUGCGGGUUUGAAUUUGAAUGGUGACGCAGCUCAGAAAGUAUUAAGCUACCAUGUUUUUUAGAGCUUUUGGAUGGACAAGAGAAGCGCGAAGAAAUGUUGGAUGUUAUCUGCAAGGAAACUAGAUAUCAUUUGGGUUGAUAGUCUUGAAUUCUGGAUAUGGAUUUCGAUUCCGGACUCGAGAUCAAUUAAUUUCAUCUCAAUUGUUUUACUUCUUUUAAUCAAAAGCUCUUAGUGUUGAUUUUAAUUAGUUUGUAACAGGUUCGAGGAAGUUGCAGGGCUUCUAAUGGUAUGUUGGUUCGAAAUCCGAGGAAAAAUAAGCACAUCCCUUCUCUCCAAAGCAACCAUGUAUGGAGCUUACCUUGUAUUUAAAGAACAAGAAAUGGGAUCCUUUGGAUUUUAGUCUCUUCUUUUGGAGGUGAGCUUUUUUUCUACAAGAACUGAGGUUUAUAAUGAUAGAAGAGUGUUUCUUAAGCAAGGAAUGCAAAGGUGUAGAGAAGAUGGGUGGUUGGAGAUUGGAGUUGGUGAAUAUUAUGUUGGUUCCGAUGAUGAGGAGCUUGAAAUGAGCGUCUUGGAGACAAUAGAAGGUGGUUGGAAAGGCGGAAUCAUCGUGCAAGGGAUCGAGAUUAGGCCAAAAGAAGUGUUGGGAUUAGAUCCAAAGUCGCUAUUUGGCAAGGUUGGUGCAGCUUGAUCAAUGACUCCAACUUCACAACCAUUUUUAGUUACGUCUAUAGCUCAGAUUGAGAUCCACUGGGUGAUAUGCAACCAAACGCUCCCCGAUGUGAAUAGCAUACGGCAAAGUCAUGAUAGACUCAUUAGCGAAGAGACCCAUGGAUGUAUUCAGAGUGUUUGUUAUCCCAUCCACAAAUUGUGACGCAUGAGCAAUUUGAGCCAUAUCAUCAAUAGUUGGAACGCAAGGGUGUAGAGAAGAUGGGUGGUUGGAGAUUGAACUUGGUGAAUAUUAUGUUGGUUCCGAUGAUGAGGAGAUUGAAAUGAGCAUCUUGGAGACGAGAGAAGGCGGUUGGAAAGGCGGAAUCAUUGUGCAAGGGAUCUAGAUUAGGCCAAAAGAAGUGUUAUGAUUACGUAACUCCUUUUCCAAGUGAUUUCUAGUUUUUUGUGUAAUGUAGAAAAUAGGAAUUAAGUCUAUGCAAUGUAUGGACAUCUGCAUUCGCUUUCUCAUAUCAUUGUAACAAUCCUGCAUAGAUGAUGCAUGAUAUUGGAUUGUGUAUAUUAUUACCUAGAGUGUUGAUCUUGAACUUUUAUUUGAUGACCAUUUG